GCAAGUCGAGCGCGGGAAGCGAGUGGAUCCCUUCGGGGUGAAGCUCGUGGAACGAGCGGCGGACGGGUGAGUAACACGUGGGCAACCUGCCUGUAAGACCGGAAUAACCCCGGGAAACCGGGGCUAAUGCCGGGUAAUACUUUUCUUCGCAUGAAGGAAAGUUGAAAGAUGGCUUCUUGCUAUCACUUACAGAUGGGCCCGCGGCGCAUUAGCUAGUUGGUGAGGUAACGGCUCACCAAGGCGACGAUGCGUAGCCGACCUGAGAGGGUGAUCGGCCACACUGGGACUGAGACACGGCCCAGACUCCUACGGGAGGCAGCAGUAGGGAAUCUUCCGCAAUGGACGAAAGUCUGACGGAGCAACGCCGCGUGAACGAUGAAGGUCUUCGGAUCGUAAAGUUCUGUUGUUAGGGAAGAACAAGUACCGUGCGAAUAGAGCGGUACCUUGACGGUACCUAACGAGGAAGCCCCGGCUAACUACGUGCCAGCAGCCGCGGUAAUACGUAGGGGGCAAGCGUUGUCCGGAAUUAUUGGGCGUAAAGCGCGCGCAGGCGGUUCCUUAAGUCUGAUGUGAAAGCCCACGGCUCAACCGUGGAGGGUCAUUGGAAACUGGGGAACUUGAGGACAGAAGAGGAGAGUGGAAUUCCACGUGUAGCGGUGAAAUGCGUAGAUAUGUGGAGGAACACCAGUGGCGAA
rnacentral:rRNA from 1 species